rnacentral:rRNA from 1 species
CCUACGGGUGGCAGCAGUGAGGAAUAUUGGUCAAUGGACGAGAGUCUGAACCAGCCAAGUAGCGUGAAGGAUGACUGCCCUAUGGGUUGUAACCUUCUUUUAUCUGGGAAUCAAAUGUUCCACGUGUGGGAUUGUGUAUGUACCAUAUGAGUAAGGAUCGGCUAACUCCGUGCCAGCAGCCGCGGUAAUACGGAGUAUCCGAGCGUUAUCCGGAUGUAUUGGGUUUAAAGGGAUCGUAGGUGGAUUGUUAAGUCAGUUGUGAAAGUAUGCGGCACAACCGUAAGCUUGCAGUUGAAACUGGCAGUCUUGAGUACAGUAGAGGUAGGCGGAAUUCGUGGUGUAGCGGUGAAAUGCAUAGAUAUCACGAAGAACUCCGAUUGCGAAGGCAGCUCACUGGACUGCAACUGACGCUGAGGCUCGAAAGUGUGGGUAUCAAACAGGAUUAGAUACCCUUGUAGUC